UACGAGGGGGCUAGCGUUGCUCGGAAUCACUGGGCGUAAAGAGCGCGCAGGCGGUCGUUCAAGUCGAGUGUGAAAGCCCCCGGCUCAACUGGGGAGGGUCACUCGAUACUGAUCGACUUGAAGGCAGGAGAGGGAAGCGGAAUUCCCGGUGUAGUGGUGAAAUGCGUAGAUAUCGGGAGGAACACCAGUGGCGAAGGCGGCUUCCUGGCCUGUUCUUGACGCUGAGGCGCGAAAGCUAGGGGAGCAAACGGG
rnacentral:rRNA from 1 species